rnacentral:rRNA from 1 species
GGUCAAGGGAAUAAGGGCUAACGGUCGAUACCUAGGCACACAGAG